rnacentral:lncRNA from 1 species
UGCUCUUACCAGUGUCCAAAAGCAAAGGCCAAAAAUGACUUUGGCAUGACAACUUAAAUACUCAUCAGGUGUCUAUCUGACCACUUUGCUGAAUGGUGAAGCCCUUAGCCAUGAACUAAUAGGCAUUUCAGAUCAAUCAUUUAAAUGGGCUGUCUGAAACCCAAAGUUGGCAAUCUUCCUGAAGUGAGAUGUCAAGGUUCUGACCUCUUCCUGGGCGAAGGGGAAGGUUCCAGGCUUUUUCCUCAUUGUUGAUGUUCCCAGUUGCCAAGGGUGCCUGCCUGCCAAAUCAACUUCUGGUUGAGAUUCGAGGUGGAGACCACUUCUGUGGAGUAAAUUGGGCAACUGGAGAAACAGCAUGAAUUUGGUCAAUGGUGAUAUCAUUACCCUGGAGAAACAAGUGUGAGACUAAAACAUCACCUCAGAUUUAAUUUUAAAAAUUUGUCAAAUAGAAGAGGUCCCCAAUGGACAAAAGACCUAAAGAAGUCUCUGCUAGUCUCUGACAAUACAGAUCUAGGUUCUUGGAAUGUGAUUUUGCCUGGGAUAACUACCCUUGAGGAAGAGGACUGCCUCAUUCCCCAAUGUGAUGGUUGUGGGGCCAGUGCUGUGAAAACUCAUGUGUCCCAUUAAUUCUCUGUAAUCUUUAAAGGUUAGAAACAUCAGAGCCUUGGAAAUAAGUUAACACAUCUUCUGAGACUCUGAAGAAACUACACAGAUCUUUUUGAAAGACAGUCCAGGUUACAGCUGCUUCUGAAACCUCCAUGCCACCAGGUUGAAAAUAUCUCUGACUGAAAACCAUGCAGAAUAUGAAACUGUGGAAAACAAAAUUCUUUGAACUUUAAAUGCACAAAGAAAAAGAAUUAGAUUUUUUCUUUAACUUUUAACUUACAAAGUGCUGCUUUAUUUGUAGCUUUAUUUCUUUCCAAAAUUUUUAUUGUAAUGAAGUGGGGCUUAAAUUCAAAUUGAGAUAAUUCUGUUCAUGCUAUAAUUCUAUUACACAUUUUACUCUUGGAAUAUCUUACUGGAGUUAUUUAAUUCAUUGAUGAAUUUAUGAUAUACUGCAUUGAAUGAUGUGACUGGCCAAAAUAGAGAAACAGAACAAGAAGUGAAUUUUCAGCUCUGGUUAAAGACUGAAUUUUAAAAAAAGAAAAAGAUUGAUCUUAAAGUUAAUUAUGUGUAUAGGUGUGUGUGUGCUCAGUAGCUCAACCAU